CGCCUCGUACCACAUUUCCAAUUUGCUGGAAAAAAUGACAUCCAGCGACAAGGACUUUAGGUUUAUGGCUACAAAUGAUUUGAUGACGGAACUGCAGAAAGAUUCCAUCAAGUUGGAUGAUGAUAGUGAAAGGAAAGUAGUGAAAAUGAUUUUAAAGUUAUUGGAAGAUAAAAAUGGAGAGGUACAGAAUUUAGCUGUCAAAUGUCUUGGUCCUUUAGUGAGUAAAGUGAAAGAAUACCAAGUAGAGACAAUUGUAGAUACCCUCUGCACUAACAUGCUUUCUGAUAAAGAACAACUUCGAGACAUUUCAAGUAUUGGUCUUAAAACAGUAAUUGGAGAACUUCCUCCAGCUUCCAGUGGUAAGCAAGAGCACAUUUUUCUUCCUAUUUCUUUUUGUGUGGAGGUAUUUCUCCCCACCCUUUUUUCCCCUUCUGGCCAAGGAGGGAGGGAGGUGGCUGUCCUUACAGAUGUUCAUAGGAAUCCCUUUGGACAAUUAAGAAAAUUAAAGCAUGAAGCCUUAUUUUUCUUAGAAAUAAAUGUUAAAUGAAUAUUUCGAUUGAACUUGUAUGUAAUAUGAAUUUCAGUGAAGGAUUUUUAUAUGUUGGAGCAAGAUUUUAUACUGUGUGUACCAUGACUGCAGACUAGAGUUAUGCCAACCUAUGCAGUGAGGGAAGAGAUAACCAAAAUAUUGCGUCCUGAUGAGUUCACUGUUUCCAGUAUUAAUUUUACUUUGCGUCAGUAUUUGCUAUGUAAAAUUUAACACCAUUCAGAC
rnacentral:sRNA from 1 species